rnacentral:rRNA from 1 species
AUGGCCCGCAAGAAGGUGCCCCUCCGGUACAUUGGCAACUCAACACAGCGCCGUACUUAUGUGACGCGCCGCAACAACCUGGUGAAGAAGGCGGGCGAGUUGGGCAUCCUGUGCAACACCAAGAUCUGCAUGCUGGUGUAUGAUGAGGGCGCCGCGGCGCCGGACGUUUACCCGUCCCACACGGAGGCGGUGGCUAUCCUGAAUAGGUACAAGAACAUGCCGGACAUAGCACGGUUCAAGAAGGUGGUGACCCAGGAGGAGUUCCUCACCAAGCAAGUCGCCAAGCUCCAGCAUGAGGCCGACAAGCUCCGGCGCGAGCGUGAGGACCGCGAUACCAAGAUCCUUCUGCACAAGGCCAUGCUCGGCGGCAACCUGAAUGCCGAGGAGGUCGCCAGGGUUGGUUGUAAGUUGCAGGAGAUCCGCAAGAGCCUCGCCGAGCGCAUCGCAAAUACCAGCGGGCAGCCGCCGGUCUUCCAGCCCCAAGCGCCAUACGUCACCGGCGGUGUCGACAUGGGCCCUCCGUCGACGGACCAGGGGCCGCCGCAGCAGGAGGGCUGGCAGCCAGAGGUCUUCCAGCAGGCCCAGGCACCACAGGUCACGAGCAACGUCGACAUGGGCUAUCUGCCGACAUAUCAGGUGCCGCCUCAGCAGCAACAAGGCUGGCAGCCGCAGGUCUUUCGGCCCCAGGCGCCAUACGUCACCGGCAACGUCGACAUGGGGCCUCCGCAGAUGUAUCAUGUGCCGCUGCAGCAGCACGGCUGGCAGCCACCAACCUUCCAGAGGUCCGAGGGGGACGGUGCCUUGCUCUACAAUGCUAAUAACGGUACUGGUGGCCACGACGGCGCCGGUACUAGCUCUAGCGCCGGCUUCCCCAUGGAUGAUCUGAUGCAGUUCUUCAACAAUAUGGGAUCCGGGUUGCAGUGA